CAUGCAAGUCGAACGAGGUCCAAGUAGUAGCAAUACUACGGAAGAUCUAGUGGCGAACGGGUGAGUAACACGUGAGGAACCUACCCCGGACUCAGGGAUAACAGACGGAAACAUCUGCUAAUACCUGAUGCCGUCGGAGCAUCACAUGGUGCACUGACGAAAGAAUCUCGGUUCGGGAGGGCCUCGCGGCCUAUCAGCUUGUUGGUGGGGUAACGGCCUACCAAGGCAUCGACGGGUAGCUGGUCUGAGAGGAUGAUCAGCCACACUGGGACUGAGACACGGCCCAGACUCCUACGGGAGGCAGCAGUGGGGAAUCUUGCGCAAUGGGCGAAAGCCUGACGCAGCAACGCCGCGUGCGGGAUGAAGGCCUUAGGGUUGUAAACCGCUUUCAGUAGGAACGAAAAUGACGGUACCUGCAGAAGAAGGUGCGGCCAACUACGUGCCAGCAGCCGCGGUGACACGUAGGCACCAAGCGUUGUCCGGAUUUAUUGGGCGUAAAGAGCUCGUAGGCGGUUGAGUAAGUCGGGUGUGAAAACUCUGGGCUUAACCCAGAGCCGCCACUCGAUACUGCUGUGACUUGAGUUCGGUAGGGGAGCAGGGAAUUCCUAGUGUAGCGGUGAAAUGCGCAGAUAUUAGGAGGAACACCGGUGGCGAAGGCGCUGCUCUGGGCCGAUACUGACGCUGAGGAGCGAAAGCGUGGGUAGCAAACAGGAUUAGAUACCCUGGUAGUCCACGCCGUAAACGUUGGGCACUAGGUGUGGGUUCCAACCAACGGAAUCCGCGCCGUCGCUAACGCAUUAAGUGCCCCGCCUGGGGAGUACGGCGGCAACGCUAAAACUCAAAGGAAUUGACGGGGGCCCGCACAAGCAGCGGAGCGUGUUGCUUAAUUCGAUGCAACGCGAAGAACCUUACCAGGGCUUGACAUGCUAGGAAAAGCCGUAGAGAUACGGUGUCCUUCGGGGCCUAGCACAGGUGGUGCAUGGCUGUCGUCAGCUCG
rnacentral:rRNA from 1 species